AUUAUAUUUAAUAACCCCUUCUCUUUAUCUUAUUUAAAAUAAUAUUAAAACCAAAAUAUUAUUAUUUUGGAUAUCUUGAAAACUAAUUUCAAAUCUGGUUUAAGUAUUAUUUUUUUAAAGUCUUAGAAUUUGUUUGAAGCUUUGUUAUAAAUUCCUUUCCAACCUUAUUUCUCUAUUUCUCUCCUUAUUUCAAAAUGUUUGGAGAACGUGGGAGUGAAGCCACAGCAGCCAAACUCUUUGGCCCAAGUUUCAACCGAAGCCACUCCUAGCCAUAUGAAUGUUGAGCCCAGCCUUUUUCUUUAUUCCUGGCAUGUUUCUUCUUGAGCCCAAAACCACAUCGUGGCAUGCAGCCCAGCCUCUACAACGCCUUCUUCUUCGUACGGACGCGCAUCGAGCGGAGCCACGUACCCCCCUACCUGAUCGAUGGGACAUCCAUCGCUUCCCGCUGCUUCAUAAAAACGACCCCGGCGCAAGCCCUGCAACCCUAGCAGCUUCCUCCCCGCCGCCACUCUCUCAUCCCUUUGUUUGCUCUAGCAAGCGCCGCCACUCCGCCGCUCGCUUCUCCUCUUGCUAACGGCCGCGGCGCUCGAGCUGCUGCCUCUACUUCUGCCAUAAGUGAGAACCUGCACCUCCUGUCUCCUCCGUCUCGUCGCCAAGGUCGCCAACGCGCGAGCGUCCUCUUCUCGUCCGCCUCCGUCAAGAUCGCCGUUCGCCGGCAGUCGCCCUUCUUCUCUUCUUCGUCUGCACCGGCCGCUGCUGCGUUGCCGGCCGCUCCAAGCUGCAAGUUCACCGUUUUCUCGACGUGGCCGUCCGCGCGCGCGUCUCCAAGCACGUCGGCAUGUUCUACGUCCGACGUCGUCCGUCCUCCCCGGCCGCGCUCCGUCAAGAUGGCUUCAGACGGUCGCGUCUUCGUCGCAAACCCCAUCCGGUUUGUCCAGGAGUGUCGCUCCCCAUCGUCGACGUCUCUGCUAGUCCAUCAACGCAAUCCCCUUCACACAGGCCGGUAACAAACGCCAGUAUCCAAGCCACGGCACGGCCAAGCAUAGACCGCCGUCGACGCCUCCGGCCGGCCGGCUCCGGCUACUCCCGUCGCCCCUCCCUCCGUCAGCAUCGCGUGCAGCAGGCAAGGAGCUGCUUUGUUAGUUCAGUUGUUGCAGUACGCCUGUUUGACAUGAUCUGAAGCUAGCACAGCUGCUGGGCCUGCCGUCUGUGUCCUGUGCUAGCUUCCCUCCGGUGAGACAAGGAUCAGCAUCCAGCCACAGUCUGUUUCUCUGGUCCUGCGCUUCAGCCGCACAGGCUAUCUUUCUUUUCGCAUCUGCUUCUUCACGGAUAGGAUCGCGAAGUGGUGUGGUGAGAUACGACAAGUCCUCCGGAUGUUCCUCGGCAAGCUUUAACAGGCAAGCAUUUUCCCCUAUACUCCUGCCCCUGCAGAAGUCGCUCACCUAUUUUAUUUUGCCUUCUCCCUCAUGCUAUCCUUAAGUUGCGUUCUUGUCACGUGUCCCUUCCACUUGUUACCUCAAGCAGCCUAUAUUGCCUCCACCAACCACCUACAGCUAUUGUUUGGUUAUCGGGUCUGCCUUGUGAGUCGUAGUGCGUGCUAGUGCUGUGUUAUCUUGAUACCGUUAUCGCUAUCUUAUCAGGUUAUCAGUUUGGGAAUCAUGACACAUGCUACAUGGUUAUAUCUGUUGAGGGUAUCAUGGUUACCUUAAUUGUUAAGCGGAGACAUCGGUGGGUCAGUUGCUCGUUUUAUGACGGCUCACUUGUGUUUCCAUGAAACCUAGGACCCCGAGUUCUUGUUAUCUGUUCCGAGACUGAGCGCUCUAACCACACGUGGGUAUGUUUCUGGG